GACGAACGCUGGCGGCGUGUUUACACAUGCAAGUCGAACGGAAAGGCCCUGCUUUUGUGGGGUGCUCGAGUGGCGAACGGGUGAGUAACACGUGAGUAACCUGCCCUUGACUUUGGGAUAACUUCAGGAAACUGGGGCUAAUACCGGAUAGGAGCUCCUGCUGCAUGGUGGGGGUUGGAAAGUUUCGGCGGUUGGGGAUGGACUCGCGGCUUAUCAGCUUGUUGGUGGGGUAGUGGCUUACCAAGGCUUUGACGGGUAGCCGGCCUGAGAGGGUGACCGGCCACAUUGGGACUGAGAUACGGCCCAGACUCCUACGGGAGGCAGCAGUGGGGAAUAUUGCACAAUGGGCGGAAGCCUGAUGCAGCAACGCCGCGUGCGGGAUGACGGCCUUCGGGUUGUAAACCGCUUUCGCCUGUGACGAAGCGUGAGUGACGGUAAUGGGUAAAGAAGCACCGGCUAACUACGUGCCAGCAGCCGCGGUGAUACGUAGGGUGCGAGCGUUGUCCGGAUUUAUUGGGCGUAAAGGGCUCGUAGGUGGUUGAUCGCGUCGGAAGUGUAAUCUUGGGGCUUAACCCUGAGCGUGCUUUCGAUACGGGUUGACUUGAGGAAGGUAGGGGAGAAUGGAAUUCCUGGUGGAGCGGUGGAAUGCGCAGAUAUCAGGAGGAACACCAGUGGCGAAGGCGGUUCUCUGGGCCUUUCCUGACGCUGAGGAGCGAAAGCGUGGGGAGCGAACAGGCUUAGAUACCCUGGUAGUCCACGCUGUAAACGGUGGGUACUAGGUGUGGGGUCCAUUCCACGGGUUCCGUGCCGUAGCUAACGCUUUAAGUACCCCGCCUGGGGAGUACGGCCGCAAGGCUAAAACUCAAAGGAAUUGACGGGGCCCCGCACAAGCGGCGGAGCAUGCGGAUUAAUUCGAUGCAACGCGUAGAACCUUACCUGGGUUUGACAUGGAUCGGGAGCGCUCAGAGAUGGGUGUGCCUCUUUUGGGGUCGGUUCACAGGUGGUGCAUGGCUGUCGUCAGCUCGUGUCGUGAGAUGUUGGGUUAAGUCCCGCAACGAGCGCAACCCUUGUUCACUGUUGCCAGCACGUUAUGGUGGGGACUCAGUGGAGACCGCCGGGGUCAACUCGGAGGAAGGUGAGGAUGACGUCAAGUCAUCAUGCCCCUUAUGUCCAGGGCUUCACGCAUGCUACAAUGGCUGGUACAGAGAGUGGCGAGCCUGUGAGGGUGAGCGAAUCUCGGAAAGCCGGUCUCAGUUCGGAUUGGGGUCUGCAACUCGACCUCAUGAAGUCGGAGUCGCUAGUAAUCGCAGAUCAGCAACGCUGCGGUGAAUACGUUCCCGGG
rnacentral:rRNA from 1 species